rnacentral:rRNA from 1 species
UCCUACGGGAGGCAGCAGUGGGGAAUAUUGCACAAUGGGCGAAAGCCUGAUGCAGCGACGCCGCGUGAGGGAUGACGGCCUUCGGGUUGUAAACCUCUUUCAGCAGGGAAGAAGCGAAAGUGACGGUACCUGCAGAAGAAGCACCGGCUAACUACGUGCCAGCAGCCGCGGUAAUACGUAGGGUGCGAGCGUUGUCCGGAAUUAUUGGGCGUAAAGAGCUUGUAGGCGGUUUGUCGCGUCUGCCGUGAAAAUCCGAGGCUCAACCUCGGACUUGCGGUGGGUACGGGCAGACUAGAGUGUGGUAGGGGAGACUGGAAUUCCUGGUGUAGCGGUGAAAUGCGCAGAUAUCAGGAGGAACACCGAUGGCGAAGGCAGGUCUCUGGGCCACUACUGACGCUGAGAAGCGAAAGCGUGGGGAGCGAACAGGAUUAGAUACCCUGGUAGUCCACGCCGUAAACGUUGGGAACUAGGUGUGGGUCUCAUUCCACGAGAUCCGUGCCGCAGCUAACGCAUUAAGUUCCCCGCCUGGGGAGUACGGCCGCAAGGCUAAAACUCAAAGGAAUUGACGG